UGAUGAUGGUGGUGGUGGUGUCGGUGAU
rnacentral:piRNA from 1 species